rnacentral:rRNA from 1 species
CAGCCGUAAACUAUGCGCGUUAGGUGUACUGGUGACCACGAGUCACCGGGGUGCCGAAAGGGAAACCGUGAAACGUGCCGCCUGGGAAGUACGGUCGCAAGGCUGAAACUUAAAGGAAUUGGCGGGGGAGCACCACAACGGGUGGAGCGUGCGGUUUAAUUGGACUCAACGCCGGGAAGCUCACCGGAUAAGACAGCGGAAUGAUUGCCGGGCUGAAGACCCUGCAUGACCAGCUGAGAGGAGGUGCAUGGCGUAGUCCGUG